AAACCCAGACCCUGAAGAACAGCUUUUUUUCUGGUUAAAAUAUAGAAGUUUUGACCCUCAAAUCUUUGGGUGAAACUUAUGACACCUUUUAAUAUUUAUUUCUGUAUUUUUUCCCUUACUUCUCAGAGGAAUAUAAGAAGACAGAAUGUAAGAGACAUUAAGAAGAAGAUUUGACCAAACACAUUUCAUUCUAAUGACAAAGUUUUCUCAUUAAUCAAUGCAAUCAAUGAUCAGAUAUUGGAAGUAGAAUCAUCCUCUCCUUUACUCAAUGUGGAAUGGAAAGAAAAAUACAAGUUCCAUUUCUUUUUUUCUUGGUGAUGUUUUGGUAUAACUCUGUAUUGUUGUGGACUCUGACUCUCCUGGGACUAAAGUUACAGUAGAUCCAAAUAACCCAACACCUUCUCAGCCUUCUCUCAUGAUUUUGAAGUCUGCGGAUUCCAGUGGUUCAACUGCUUGUUUAGCAAGGGAUUUCUACCCUCCUGAACUGAAGAUGUCCAUGAAUGCUGACAGCCCAGUUCUAUAUGAAACCACUGAGCCUGUCCUUUCAUUUGGAAAAUACCGUGCUGUAAAGGUUGCCAACAUUACAUCGAACCAAGAUGUGCAUUGCUCUGUACAACACCACAACCAAAAGUUUAAUAAAAUUCUCACUUCAGAGAGACCACCAGCUUUAACAACUCCUGGACCUACCACAAGCUUGACUGAGGCCUGCAGAACUUCAACUCCUAACAUCGAAGUCAAGACGGGACAGUUUUUAAAAGCUUUAACAACUCCUGGACCUACCACAAGCCAGAUAGAGAUCUGCAGAACUUCAGCUCCUAGCCCCCAAGAUGAAGAUAUGGAGAAAAUGAAUGCGCUGUCUAUGAUUGUGCUGGGCUUGAGGGUGUUGCUAACGAAAAGCAUUGCCUUGAAUACGCUCAUGGUCACUAGAUACCUUUAUUUCUGAGGUUGGACGAAAUGAGCCAGCAAUGGGUUGAAGACGAUAGCAAAUAAUUCAUUGGAUUUUAUUCUUUAUUAGAACUGGUCAAAACAUGAAAAUAAAAUCAAAAUUUCAAAGUUGAAAUGUUUGAAGGGUUCAAAAUGGAGCCAAUUUUUGUGUUUUCCAAAAAGCUUCACUGAAAUUUUACAUAACAAACAUUUAAUUUUCAAUUGAAAAUAUUAUUGAAAUAGUUAUCAAAAUUUUCAGUCUACCAAAAACCUUCCUUUUAGCAAAUGAACAAUUUAAAUAAGUAUUUUGAUAUUUUCAAUAAAUGUGAAAAUUUUCACAAAAAAUAAAAAUAUUUA